CAGAGGUCUCAAGCGUUGUUCGGAUUCAUUGGGCGUAAAGGGUGCGUAGGUGGCGCCGUAAGUCAGGUGUGAAAUCUCGGGGCUCAACCCCGAAACUGCACUUGAUACUGCGGUGCUCGAGUACUGGAGAGGAGAUUGGAAUUUACGGUGUAGCAGUGAAAUGCGUAGAUAUCGUAAGGAAGACCAGUGGCGAAGGCGAAUCUCUGGACAGUUACUGACACUGAGGCACGAAGGCCAGGGGAGCAAACGGGAUUAGAUACCCCGGUAGUCCUGGCAGUAAACGGUGCGCGUUUGGUGUGGGAGGAUUCGACCCCUUCUGUGCCGGAGCUAACGCGUUAAACGCGCCGCCUGGGGAGUACGGUCGCAAGAUUA
rnacentral:rRNA from 1 species